rnacentral:rRNA from 1 species
AAACCAGCACCUCAAGUGGUCAGGAGGAUUAUUGGGCCUAAAGCAUCCGUAGCCUGCUUUGUAAGUUUCCGGUUAAAUCCAUUAGCUCAACAUAUAGGCUGCCGGGAAUACUGCACAGCUAGGGAGUGGGAGAGGUAGACGGUACUCGGUAGGAAGGGGUAAAAUCCUUUGAUCUAUGGAUGACCACCUGUGGCGAAGGCGGUCUACCAGAACACGUCCGACGGUGAGGGAUGAAAGCUGGCGGAGCAAACCGGAUUAGAAACCCGAGUAGUCC